rnacentral:rRNA from 1 species
UGCAAGUCGAACGAUACCAUUUAGCUUGCUAGAUGGGAAAGUGGCGCACGGGUGCGUAACGCGUAUGCAACCUACCUUAAUCAGGGGGAUAGCCCGAAGAAAUUCGGAUUAACACCGCAUAAAAUCACAGUACAGCAUUGUACAAUGAUCAAAUAUUUAUAGGAUUAAGAUGGGCAUGCGUGUCAUUAGUUAGUUGGCGAGGUAACGGCUCACCAAGACCACGAUGACUAGGGGAUCUGAGAGGAUGACCCCCCACACUGGUACUGAGACACGGACCAGACUCCUACGGGAGGCAGCAGUAAGGAAUAUUGGUCAAUGGAGGCAACUCUGAACCAGCCAUGCCGCGUGCAGGAAGACAGCCCUCUGGGUCGUAAACUGCUUUUAUUCGGGAAUAAACCUACUUACGUGUAAGUAGCUGAAUGUACCGAAGGAAUAAGGAUCGGCUAACUCCGUGCCAGCAGCCGCGGUAAUACGGAGGAUCCAAGCGUUAUCCGGAUUUAUUGGGUUUAAAGGGUGCGUAGGCGGCUUAUUAAGUCAGGGGUGAAAGACGGUGGCUCAACCAUCGCAGUGCCCUUGAUACUGAUGAGCUUGAAUACACUAGAGGUAGGCGGAAUGUGACAAGUAGCGGUGAAAUGCAUAGAUAUGUCACAGAACACCGAUUGCGAAGGCAGCUUACUAUGGUGUUAUUGACGCUGAGGCACGAAAGCGUGGGGAUCAAACAGGAUUAGAUACCCUGGUAGUCCACGCCCUAAACGAUGAAUACUCGCUGUUAGCGAUACA